rnacentral:rRNA from 1 species
AGUGAACGCUGGCGGUAGGCCUAACACAUGCAAGUCGAACGGCAGCACAGUAAGAGCUUGCUCUUACGGGUGGCGAGUGGCGGACGGGUGAGGAAUACAUCGGAAUCUACUUUUUCGUGGGGGAUAACGUAGGGAAACUUACGCUAAUACCGCAUACGACCUACGGGUGAAAGCAUGGGAUCUUCGGACCUUGCGCGAUUGAAUGAGCCGAUGUCGGAUUAGCUAGUUGGCGGGGUAAAGGCCCACCAAGGCGACGAUCCGUAGCUGGUCUGAGAGGAUGAUCAGCCACACUGGAACUGCGACACGGUCCAGACUCCUACGGGAGGCAGCAGUGGGGAAUAUUGGACAAUGGGCGCAAGCCUGCUCCAGCCAUACCGCGUGGGUGAAGAAGGCCUUCGGGUUGUAAAGCCCUUUUGUUGGGAAAGAAAAGCAGCAGGUUAAUACCCCGCUGUUCUGACGGUACCCAAAGAAUAAGCACCGGCUAACUUCGUG